ACCUCAGGUGAUCUGCCUGCCUUGGCCUCCCAAAAUGCUGAGAUUACAUGCGUGAGCCACCGCGCCCGGCCUCCCAGGAUGAGAGUCUGACCCCUGCCGGCCUCUGCUUCUUACUCCCCGCUCUGGCUGCGCUGCUGGCUGUACCUGGCACACUUCAGACCCCUUCUAUCAGGGUCUGUGCUCUUACCCCUCCCACAGGUGGCUCCUUCAGUCCUCAGCCCUGCCUCCCGAAGACCUUCCCACCCAGUGGUUCACUGAAUCUCCAAGCAGCGAGGUGUAUCUGGAAAGACAGCUCAAGAAUUAAGGGUGCUCACCCUUAAUUACACUCCAUUUUCCUCAGGACAGGCUGGAACAGAUUUGGGAUGGCGAGCCCCCAAACCAGCACUCUACAGAUUUCGGGACCCCUCUUAACUCAUUUCCCCCAUCCUCCCAAUGACGUCUAUUCGCCUGCAGCAGACCCGAAGGAAGCUUCGGCUCAAUGGUUCAUUUGCAUGCGCCCGUGCUAUUGGUCGGAGGGGCGGCACCGUAGCCAAUGGUGUGCAGGGGUGUUGACCGAGCCGCAGCUCUGCGCCGCCGGGUGAGGUAAUGGAAUCCUGGCUGGACCUGCUGCGGCUCCCUCCGGACUGGCUAGUGACGUAGCGGCUUCCCCGGCCCCACCCCGCCCAGCCCGGCCGCCCCCGGGAGCGCAGCUGGGGCUCGGCCCUGUUCCUUCCGGCCCGGCGUUCCGGUCGCGGGCCCCUCAGGGAGGACCCGCCGGGCCAGAUCCCAUCUCUGGCGACGCGGAGAAAAAUCUGGAAGCCGUCGUCGGAGGAUGACCAAAUCCUCGCUCCUCUGGGAGUGCGAUUACGGGCCUCUCACUUCGUAAAUCACGCAGGCCUGAAACGCUCACAUUUGUUUACCACGAGCAUGUUUGAUUUUGUAAUUUAACAAAUAAAAUUGCAGAGGAUUUUUAAGA